rnacentral:rRNA from 1 species
AGCUGUCUCUUUCUUGAUAUUUAAAAAUUAACUUUUAGGUGAAGAGGCCUAAAUGAAACUAAGGGACGAGAAGACCCUAUUGAGCUUUAGUGAAGCAAUAAGUUUUGAGUGUAAUUGAAUUUAGGAACUGUUAUAUAUUUAUAGAGUUUUAUUUUGUUGUGAAUCUUUAGUUGGGGCGACUGAGGAACAGAAAAAGCUUCCUUUGUAUUAUAAGACUUUGAUUUAUCUUAUAUGAUGCUAGCGAGCUAUUUGAUCCAGUAUUUAUUGAUUAAGGGAAAAAGUUACCAUAGGGAUAACAGCGUAAUCUUUCUGGAGAGAUCAUAUCGAAAGGAGGGUUUGCGACCUCGAUGUUGGACUAAGAUAUCCUAAAGGUGUAGAAGCUUUUAAAGGUUGGUCUGUUCGACCAUUAAAAUCUUACGUGAUCUGAGU